rnacentral:rRNA from 1 species
AGUGAACGCUGGCGGUAGGCCUAACACAUGCAAGUCGAACGGCAGCACAGAGGAGCUUGCUCCUUGGGUGGCGAGUGGCGGACGGGUGAGGAAUACAUCGGAAUCUACUCUGUCGUGGGGGAUAACGUAGGGAAACAUACGCUAAUACCGCAUACGACCUACGGGUGAAAGCAGGGGAUCUUCGGACCUUGCGCGAUUGAAUGAGCCGAUGUCGGAUUAGCUAGUUGGCGGGGUAAAGGCCCACCAAGGGGACGAUCCGUAGCUGGUUUGAGAGGAUGAUCAGCCACACUGGAACUGAGAAACGGUCCAGACUCCUACGGGAGGCAGCAGUGGGGAAUAUUGGACAAUGGGCGCAAGCCUGAUCCAGCCAUACCGCGUGGGUGAAGAAGGCCUUCGGGUUGUAAAGCCCUUUUGUUGGGAAAGAAAUCCAUCUGGUUAAUACCCGGGUGGGAUGACGGUACCCAAAGAAUAAGCACCGGCUAACUUCGUGCCAGCCGCCGCCGUAA